ACUGAAGAGCCUGACUGGAGUGCAUGUUACUGCCGACAAAGCUUCAGAACACCGGCCAGGGCAAGACCACCGACAUCAGGCUGAGAUACAACGGCACUGAUCCUGGAUUUGCAGGGCCAGGAUAAACAAGGGACUGUAGAGACCAUUUUGUCCCAUUCAUUAAUUUUUAGGCAGAACACAGAUCUAGAGAGAAUAGAUGACUUGCCCCAAGCUACCCCGCGAAGGAGGGGGAGGGCCACGGAUAAAUAGUGUGCUUCUAGAAUCUUAACUCUUCGGGGUCAACCUCUCCUUCUACGCCAAGGAAACAGGAUCUUCCCGCAACCCCCGAGACAACCACCGAACAGUCACCCAACUUAGCAUAGGGCCCAGACGUUCCGUCGAUCGAAUGUACGACGCUCGAUUUCUAGGUCUUUAGUACAACGCAGCAUAAAUCGAUUGGUCGUCCCUGCCGGUCGCUGCUGAGCGCUGAUUGGCUCCGGCUUGGGAAGCGGCCGAAAAGGCCGGCGUGUGGGGCGGGCCUGGGGAAGGCACUCCCGCGGCGCUAAGGUGCUGACGGGCGUUUGGCGUUGCAGCUGCGUGGGCGCCGGUGAGUGCAAGUCGCGCUCGAAGAAACCCAAAGGCGUCGUGGGGCUGCCGUGUGCCCCAGAGAGCACUGGAGGCCGGGUAGGGCUAAGGCUUCCCGCAGUCUUCUGCGUGUUGUCGAGUACGCAGUUGAAAUCGUUCUCCAACCUGGCCAGUUCCUCCGAGGCCCUUCUCAGGCGCCCGGACUCUGUCAACAGAGUCCAUUGCUAAAACUCCUCGUUAGUAUUUACCACUCCUGCAGUCUCUGUUUUGAAGCAGUGGUUUUCAACCACUGCACGUUUUCAAAAGAAAUCAUCUCAAGCAGCCGGGAGGUCUUGGUGCCGGACUCCACCCUGCAGCCCUUCCCUUUCGCCACCGCCCUCUGCUUAGGGAAACCUUAGGGUGGAGCGAUGAGUCGCCCUUGACUGAGUAACUCUUCAGGGUCAACCUCUCCUUCCACGCCAAGGAAAGGAUUCCAGGGCGAUGUUUCCGGAAAUGGAGAUCUGACCAAGCCACUGCCCUGGUGAAAAUUCAGUGGGUCCCUAGCACCUAGUGCAGCGGCUCCUAGCCUGAGUAUUGCCCUCUUUGGGUGGGGAGGGGUUGGGUUUUUUGUAGCAUCUGUUGAUCUGAUCUCCAACAUCCUCCACGUCAAUUCCCAAUCCACCCACAUCCCUUAUCCUAUACAUAAGCUUUCCAGCCACGGUGCUGGCUUGGGUGGGGGUGCGUGCAGUGCUGACACCAAAGUGGAGGUCCCGUGUUUCUGAGAGUGUCUCUUUCAGAGCAAUGCAAACCUGAAACUCCUCCUGCCAAGAAACGAUUUCAGCUCUUCCCGGAAAAAUUAAAGCCUUUGAGAAACAAAGCUGAGUGGUCUCCGGGGUUGCAGUCCCAGUCACCUGUGCAGAGCUCGACACAGGUACCUAUGGAAGAAUGGAUGUGCUGAAAACCACCAUACUUUUGGGACAGAUGCUAGGGAGAACAGCCCUUGAUUAAGAAGGAAUAGAGUGGAGAAGAAGAGACUCACAUUUACCACAUGCCAUCAGGAUACCCUUGCAGUCACCCCAUGCAGUGAGUCUUACUAGGCUCACUUUACAGGUGUGGCAGUUGGGACUCACAGAGGUAACUUGCUAGCCAGUGGGUAUAGAAGUGAGAGUCAACUGAGAUUUGCCUGGCCCUUCGGUCUGAGCACCUUCUGCUGUCCAACAUGGUGAAGCUCAUCCUGACAUAGGUGCAUAUCUCCAAAUUUCAAGGAGUCAUUCUGGACCUGAAUGGAGGCUCCCAAGUUCCCAGAACAUCAAGCUCUUUGAGGACCAAUGAAGAGAAAUGAACAGGGCUACCUCUGCCUGGACUCACCCAAAAGCUGCAACGGUCUCACUGCAGCCUGAAGCUCUUGUACCUCUAGGCUGAAGAUGAUGAGGAUUACAAGGAGGAGGAAGGCUGCCAACUUCAUGUUGCUGUUGGAAGGCUUUGGAAAAACACAGCAGGGCUAAGAGCAGCUGAAAUUUAUACCUUCCACCCACUGAGCUGGAAUGCAAGGCCAGGGGUGGGACUAGGGACUGCAGACACCUAAGCCCUGCCCAGAAACUGACAUUUCUGGAGAACAGCCACCCACCCUGUGUACCCUGGGUCCUUCCACAUUACCUAAGCAAGGCUCUGAGCCAAGGGAACACCCUCUUUUGACAGACAAAUAGGACUCCUACACCAGGCCAGGUGCAGUGGCUCACAUCUGUAAUCCCAGCACUUUGGGAGGCCGAGGCAGGAGGAUCA